rnacentral:rRNA from 1 species
CCUACGGGCGGCAGCAGUGGGGAAUAUUGGACAAUGGGGGCAACCCUGAUCCAGCCAUGCCGCGUGUGUGAAUAAGGCCCUCGGGUUGUAAAGCACUUUCAGUGAGGAAGAACGCCUGGUGGUUAAUACCCAUCAGGAAAGACAUCACUCACAGAAGAAGCACCGGCUAACUCCGUGCCAGCAGCCGCGGUAAUACGGAGGGUGCGAGCGUUAAUCGGAAUUACUGGGCGUAAAGCGCGCGUAGGUGGCUUGAUAAGCCGGUUGUGAAAGCCCCGGGCUCAACCUGGGAACGGCAUCCGGAACUGUCAAGCUAGAGUGCAGGCGAGGAAGGUAGAAUUCCCGGUGUAGCGGUGAAAUGCGUAGAGAUCGGGAGGAAUACCAGUGGCGAAGGCGGCCUUCUGGACUGAAACUGACACUGAGGUGCGAAAGCGUGGGUAGCAAACAGGAUUAGAUACCCUAGUAGUC